rnacentral:tRNA from 1 species
AAAAAUUUAGUUAAAAAAUAACAUUAGUUUGUCAAACUAAAAUUAUUAUUAUUAAAUAAUAAUUUUUA